CCUACGGGGCGCUGCAGUAGGGAAUCUUCCACAAUGGGCGAAAGCCUGAUGGAGCAACGCCGCGUGGGUGAAGAAGGUCUUCGGAUCGUAAAACCCUGUUGUUAGAGAAGAAAGUGCGUGAGAGUAACUGUUCACGUUUCGACGGUAUCUAACCAGAAAGCCACGGCUAACUACGUGCCAGCAGCCGCGGUAAUACGUAGGUGGCAAGCGUUAUCCGGAUUUAUUGGGCGUAAAGGGAACGCAGGUGGUCUUUUAAGUCUGAUGUGAAAGCCUUCGGCUUAACCGGAGUAGUGCAUUGGAAACUGGGAGACUUGAGUGCAGAAGAGGAGAGUGGAACUCCAUGUGUAGCGGUGAAAUGCGUAGAUAUAUGGAAGAACACCAGUGGCGAAAGCGGCUUUCUGGUCUGUAACUGACGCUGAGGUUCGAAAGCGUGGGUAGCAAACAGGAUUAGAUACCCGGGUAGUC
rnacentral:rRNA from 1 species